UAUAAUAAAAAAUACACGAAGCUAUCUAUUCUUUUAAUAAAUUCAAUCUAGAUAUAUAGAAAAUAAAAUUUCGUAUCGCGUGAACGACGCCGUUACGUGGCGUUUCUUCCAAGAAAUAAAUAAAAAAAAAAAAGAAAAAAACUAAAAAUAAUUUUCCAAUAUAUAUAUAUAUAUAUACAAUAAUACAGUCCUAUAUAAUUCUCGACCAUUUUCAACUUCACCUCACGAUCCAGAAACAACGGAGGAAGGUAGAAUCUCGAUUGCACUCGAGUAUCCCGCAACGAAGACGGACACAUGGAUCCUUGACCAAACGGAAACUCGGCAAGGAUGAAGGCAUUGCGUGAAGUAGGUCGUGUCUGACGCGUUAUCUUCCCCCCCUCCUUCCCCCUCCACUUGCGCGAUAGACACGUACGGCGGAAGGGAGUUGCAACGGCUCGAAGCGAGAUAAAAUAGGAUAAAUAGCGGUGCGGGCAGGCGUGAAGUUAGCAGAGAAGAAUUCAGAUAAAAAUUCGAAGUGAAGACGUUGGCCGAGAUAGUGGAAGUGGAAUAAAUUAUAACGAUUAGCGUCGAGCGUAUAUAAUAUGUAUAUAAUAUAUAUACACAUGCUCGUAUCUUUCGUGUAUUUACGUUCGAAUUGUGUAUCGAUUCUAUUCCACUGUUUCGAACAGUCGGUCGACGCGACGCGGCGAGCUCGGAUAUAAUAGAACGAUCCACCAAUUUCGAGAUUGACUAUUUUUUAAACCCGUAUCAACUGCGUUAAUAAUUAAAAGAAAUCACGCUGUAUUACAAAAUGUGUUCAAUUAAAUCGAUACUUACGAAAAGGGACUUGUUUUUUUCUUUUGAGAGGCAAAUAUACAGCGUCGGCCUCGAAACGUCGCGGCGGUAUCCAAUUAACAACACCGUCAAAAAUUGAUCAGGCGGAGAAUUAUAAAACACGGUUCUAAUUGUGGGCAGCGGAUUUUUCCGCGUGUCACGGCUCGGCUAAAGAAUUUUUAUUCGGCGGAUUUCACGUCAAUUAAGCGGGAGAGGAAGGAUGACAACUCGUUAUAUCGAUGGUCACGGGACGACACUCUCGGACGAGAUGUGCAAAAAGAAGAAAAAAAAAGAAGGUAUGGAAAGGGACGAUUAUUUGUGAAGAUUGGAGAAAAUGAAAAGAGGACAGUACGUAUAUAUAGGCGGAAAUUUUAAUUGAGAGGAUGAGUAAUUGAGAAUCCCAUUGAUGUUAAUAGAUAUAAAAAUUGGGAAUAUUUUUAUCGAUUCGACGAAAGAUAAAGGUAAAUAGCUUGUGUAAUUUUUCAAUUUGUUGUUAAUCUUUUUGUUGCUAAUAUUUAUUCCUGACAGGCUAGGGAAAAAACUUGCGUAAAAAGCCUGCUGAAAAAUUGAAGUUUAUGAACAUUAUAUUUCUUGUUCAAAUUCGCUUUUUGCGUUAUUAUUAACGCAAGAAUGUCUCUUUAUUUCGUAAAUAAUCUGAACGUAUCAAAUGUGAAAAUUUGCAAUAUAUAAAUAUCAAACAAAAUUAAAUAAUCUAAACUAAUAAAGAUUAUAUUAUACAAAUAUAUUUUUUCCAUCGAUUGUUCUCGAUCACUCAAAUAUAAAAAUUACUUAUUCUGAUCCUAAACCCCUGUUAUCCCAUUUCUUUUCAAAAUUCCAAUACGCAUAAAACCUAAGCCCCUGUGCAGUCCUUCUUCCACUUCGCAAACGUCUCCUUAUAUCGUGCACCCUCAUCCUCGAGCAAUUAACGUUUACACCGCGCGGCCCACCCAGUCCUCGUUUCGCUCUCGAAAACUCUUUAAGAACCGUUUCCCACUCCCCUCCCCGCUCCCUGCCGCUCGCUCGCCAGUGCUUUGGACCGGAGGCCCGGUGGAGGGGGAAGAAGAAGCUCGCUCCUUCGUGGACAGCGUGGAACCCGGCCAGAAUCGGUUCAUCGAGUUACUCGUAACGGACCGUCGAAGCACGCUCUGCCAAAAUGUAGACCCGCACCUUUUCCUUUUCCAUUCGAUACGAAGAAAAGCGUAUCAUUCCGGAUUAUUCUUACGACGAAUCGCGUUAACUAAUUCGAAAGAUUAUAUGUCGGCUUAACUUGCUUGUUUUUCUUAAUGUGAUAGUGUUAUUCAAUUUGGUUUCGUGUGCGAUAGUUAAUCAAUUAUUAUUAGUGUCGCGUUUCAAUUCUCGAAGGGAAUAAGAGAGUGGAUAUAUAUAUAAUGUAUCGAGAGAUGAUUGAAAUUUUAAUACGAUAGUAUUAUUCGAAGGAAAUAUUUAAUUAUUCUUCAAACAAUUCUUAAUGAUAUAUAGUAUAGCAUACCACGAUUCAUUUGUCGAUUGUGACUUCAACGGCUCGAUUAAAUUAUCGAUCGAAAUUUCGUGAGAGAAGAGACAUUACACGGUAUAAUAUAAAAUACCGUGGAGUUGGAAGUUGAGCCGCGUGAACGAAUAACGUUUGAUCGAUGAAAGUUGAGUUUCAUUAGGUCGAAGGGUUUAUAAUCGAGACGGAGCCGUUAGAAGUGAGCGCGAUAAAAUCGAUUUUCGCUAAUUAUGGCGAAAAGUUGUAUAGAACUGUUUCGGACAGUUAUUGCAACGUAUUAAAUUUUCCUCGUGCGAAGACGUUCGAUUCGCGCGUAACAAGCGAUGUAAUAGAUUUAUACAAAAUUCAAUUACACGCUAUUACGAUCUACACUAAUCAAUGUCCUAUUAUGACGGAUAAAAUCUGAAAUUUAUUAUUAUUUUAAAUUUAAAUUUUUGACUCGUAAAGAAUCUAUUAGAUUUAAUUAAUUUUUUUUUUUUUUGUUCAAGGAAGACAAUGAUUCGCGCGUAACAAGCGAUGUAAUAGAUUUAUACAAAAUUCAAUUUCUAAGAUUUACGCGCUUAUGAGUUUUUUCAUCAGUCACUAUUAAGUCAAGCAUCAUUUAUGCCGGGAAGAAUCUUUCUUCGCCAUUGCACCGUGAGAGGAGAAGAUAUAUUGCCAGCAUCUAUAAUGCAACCUUGAAUGAAUAACAUAACCUUUAUUGAAUGCUCGACGAGCAUCAAGAUUGGAUUUACGACAAGCUUAAGAUUCAACAUCAGUUUCACCGGAAGAUAUAACGUAUAUAUGCUUAAAUGACGACUUAAUCUCGCUUAAAGAUUACUUGGAAGAGAAAAUAACGUUAUUAUACGAAUCAAUCGUUUGUUUUUAUUCAUUCUGAUUAUAUUGAAAAUUCAAUAAUAUAUAUAUAAUGUAAUGUAUAGGAUGAUACAAUGGAAAAAU